GAUGAACGCUGGCGGCGUGCCUCAAACAUGCAAGUCGAGCGAGGCUAUGGAAUUACCGCAAGGUAAGGCAUAGCCUAGCGGCGAACGGGUGGUAACACGUGGGUAACCUACCUGGAAGACAGGGAUAACGAUUCGAAAGGGUCGCUAAUACCUGAUAAUAUCCGUCUGCCGGAUGGCGGAGGGAAGAAAGGGGAAACCCGCUUUCAGAUGGGCCCGCGUCCCAUCAGCUAGUUGGUAAGGUAAAGGCUUACCAAGGCGACGACGGGUAGCCGGUCUGAGAGGAUGUACGGCCACACUGGGACUGAGAUACGGCCCAGACUCCUACGGGAGGCAGCAGUUGGGAAUCUUAGGCAAUGGACGAAAGUCUGACCUAGCGACGCCGCGUGAGGGAAGAAGGCCUUCGGGUUGUAAACCUCUGUCAUGGGGGAAGAAGGAAGUGACGGUACCCCAAGAGGAAGCCCCUGCUAACUACGUG
rnacentral:rRNA from 1 species